ACGAGAGCGACCGGUGCUUGCACUGGUCAAUCUAGUGGCGAACGGGUGAGUAACACGUGGGUAACCUGCCCAUCAGAGGGGGAUAACAUUCGGAAACGGAUGCUAAAACCGCAUAGGUUCUACAGUCGCAUGACUGAAGAAGGAAAAGAGGCUUCGGCUUCUGCUGAUGGAUGGACCCGCGGUGCAUUAGCUAGUUGGUGAGGUAACGGCUCACCAAGGCCGUGAUGCAUAGCCGACCUGAGAGGGUGAUCGGCCACAUUGGGACUGAGACACGGCCCAAACUCCUACGGGAGGCAGCAGUAGGGAAUCUUCCGCAAUGGACGCAAGUCUGACGGAGCAACGCCGCGUGAGUGAAGAAGGAUUUCGGUUCGUAAAACUCUGUUGUUAGAGAAGAACAGCGCAUAGAGUAACUGUUAUGCGUGUGACGGUAUCUAACCAGAAAGCCACGGCUAACUACGUGCCAGCAGCCGCGGUAAUACGUAGGUGGCAAGCGUUGUCCGGAUUUAUUGGGCGUAAAGCGAGCGCAGGCGGUCAAUUAAGUCUGAUGUGAAAGCCCCCGGCUCAACCGGGGAGGGUCAUUGGAAACUGGUUGACUUGAGUGCAGAAGAGGAGAGUGGAAUUCCAUGUGUAGCGGUGAAAUGCGUAGAUAUAUGGAGGAACACCAGUGGCGAAGGCGACUCUCUGGUCUGUAACUGACGCUGAGGCUCGAAAGCGUGGGUAGCAAACAGGAUUAGAUACCCUGGUAGUCCACGCCGUAAACGAUGAGUGCUAAGUGUUGGAGGGUUUCCGCCCUUCAGUGCUGCAGUUAACG
rnacentral:rRNA from 1 species